GAGCGGAGAAGUCUUGAAAGAAAAUUGUCUGAAAUGGAAGAAGAAAUAAAGAAUGUUGCAAAAUUAAAGGCUGAAAAUGAAAAGCUAAAAGCAGAAAAUCGAGCAUUGUCACGAGUGGUGUGUAAAUUAUCCAAAUAGCUAUGUGAGAAGUUGAGAGCUGAUAAUGAACGACUGAAAGAUGAAAAUAGUGCACUUAUUCGAGUCAUAAGCAAGUUAUCAAAGUAAUAUUUUGUACUUUGUACCCUUGCAUUUACAUAAGAUGUAACCUAUAUGUUCAUAGUGGAUUUUGUAGCAUCCUAUGUGAAAGAAGGCCUGCUAAAUCUUCAUAUUUUACAUUGAAAGUGGAACUGGUUUUUAUAAACUGCUGGAUUUUUCAAACCACCGUUGGUGCUCAUAUUGAGCUUUUAAAUUUGACUGCCUUAAAAUAUGUUUUUCUAUGCAGACUUUUAAAAAUUGUUUACUGUAUUUCUUUUUACUCAAAAUUAUAUAUUAUUAUUUUAUCUAGUCCAAGUGUAGCAAUAUCUACUUGAUGUAGAACAAAUACUUUGGUACUUAAAAAAUAUUUUUUGUAAUUUUGUCAAUUGUAUGACUUUGCCUUUUACAAUUAAUGCCAGUCAUAUAGGAAUAGAUUUUAUAUCAAACUGACGAAGGAGUUUUAUAUAUUCAUAUUUUCUAUUAGGCCACCAUUCAAACUGAUUUUCUUUUCAUCAAUGAAUUUUUCUGCUCUAUGACUAUAACUCAAGCAUGCCUGGUAAUUUUCUAUAGGAAAAUAAUGUUGAUUUAGUUGAAAGUUGUAAGCAAAUGUUCUUUAUGCACAACUAAGGUUUAGUAAUGGCAAAAACCUGUACCAAAACUUUGAUUUUUCUUCAUUAACUCAAAACAUUUGCAGUAAAAGUUUUCUGUAAAAUAUAUAUAUAAAAGAAAAUGAAUGAACAAGUAAAAAAGCAAAGGAAAACCACAUUAAUCCUCAAUAAUUACAGAGUUGUUGAGAACGUUUUUGUGACAUUUAAGGAAGCUAAAAUGAAUAAACUAAAUAAUUUUUAAAUUGACUUUUUAAAAAAUGAACUCUUUUACUUUUUUUUAUGGCCCAAACAUAAAUAAAAGUAUGCUUGGAUUUCAAUAGCCAUAAGGAAUAAAAGACCUGAUUGAAUCCUUCUUGUUUUUUGGUGCUGAUGUUUUUUAAGUGAUCUUAAGCUAUGAGUAUAUUUUCAUUUAACUCUUGCAAAACUUCCCAGAUGUUUUACAAUUCGCAUAUAAAAUAAUAAAAAUAUAAUUUUAAAACUUUUCAUCUUUCAAAAUCAAAUUUUUCUAGUUUAACUCAUCAUAGCCAAAUCAGACUUAAAAUUUAAAAAUACACUAGGAUAAAUAAGCAAAUUGAAACUUGAAAAAUGAACCAACGCUAAAAUUAUUGCCAUUUAGGGUCUGGCAUUUAGCUUGAGAGGAACUUGAUUAGAAAAAAAAAAUCCUAUCAUUUUACUCUCUUGGGGAUAUUUUUGCCCUUAUGGUGGAGUGAUGAAGCAUUUUUUUUUUUUUUUACUUGCAGAUGAAAUUUGAGUUUUCGGUAACUUGAAGAAAACUGCUGCUCACAUCUGAAAGAAUCUGCCUAUAUUCAGUAAUCAAGGCCACAGCUAAAGUUGGAGUUCUUAGGGAUUGUCCCAACCCUUGAAAUGUUUUAAGCAUUGUGUGUGUGUGUUUUUUUUUUUUUUUUUUUGAAUAACAGCCACCAUUUGGAGAUCAAGCACAAUUUUUUCAUGAAAUUCUCCAGUUGCUCCCAGACAUAGAGUGGCAGAAAUGAUUAAGUUAAAACAAAAGCAAUGUUAAUGUUCUUGAUAGAUGACCCUGAUCAAUACACACCACUGAGUUUCAGCUGCAUUGGCAGUGGACAAUAGUGUGGGAAAAACAUAAUACUCUAGAUUAAUUACUGUUAACAGUGGCCAAAUUUAAGGAAAGCCGUGGAGAGCUCAAGUUUAGUAACUAAAGCAGGGAUGAGGGGACGUUCAAAAAAAAGGUUAAAUUACAAAGUUAAACUCUCAUGAAAAUGUGUUUCGGGUAUUUUUUAAUGAAAACCUUUUGAAGGGGGAAAAUAUUCACUGUUAUAGCAUUGCUUCCCUUUCCUUCAUAUGCUAUGAACAAGACAAAAUUUCAUAAUUAGUGUACAAACUUGAAGAGCAUUAUGACAGUGAAAAUUUUAUAAAUGAAAUGUUGAAUAAAUAUUCUUAGUAGAAUCUGGUACAUGCUGCUUGACCACUAACAAAAUGGAAGGGCAAAGAUCUGUUUGAUUGGUAGAAAUGGAUGCACCUGUUACUUUGCACAUAUGCCAGGUUGUUGAAUUUAAAGCAGAGACACAACGAAAUGAACAAAACAUGCGCUACAAACCUCCACCGGUUACUUUUUUUCUUUCCCUAUUUGACUCAUUCGAAUAGAAUCAUCUUAGCAGACUGGUUGCCAAUUUGCCAUGCUAAAUAUGUUCUAACUGUAUUUUUCAGCACAAGUUCGAUGUUGAACAAUGGUCUUUUAUUAAGUUGAGUAAAUGUCUGA